rnacentral:rRNA from 1 species
UACGUAGGGGGCUAGCGUUGUCCGGAAUCAUUGGGCGUAAAGAGCGUGUAGGCGGCUCGGUAAGUCCGCUGUGAAAGUCGGGGGCUCAACCCUCGAAUGCCGGUGGAUACUGUCGAGCUAGAGUGCGGAAGAGGCGAGUGGAAUUCCUGGUGUAGCGGUGAAAAUGCGCAGAUAUCAGGAGGAACACCGAUUGCGAAGGCAGCUCGCUGGGACGUUACUGACGCUGAGACGCGAAAGCGUGGGGAGCAAA